rnacentral:tRNA from 1 species
GCUCCUGUAGCUCAGUUGGUAGAGCAGAGGACUGAAAAUCCUUGUGCGCUGGUUCGAUUCCAGCUGGAAGCGCCA